rnacentral:rRNA from 1 species
CCUACGGGAGGCAGCAGUGGGGAAUAUUGCACAAUGGGCGCGAGCCUGAUGCAGCAACGCCGCGUGAGGGACGACGGCCUUCGGGUUGUAAACCUCUUUUAGUAGGGAAGAAGCGAAAGUGACGGUACCUGCAGAAAAAGCACCGGCUAACUACGUGCCAGCAGCCGCGGUAAUACGUAGGGUGCAAGCGUUAUCCGGAAUUAUUGGGCGUAAAGAGCUCGUAGGCGGUUUGCCGCGUCUGCUGUGAAAACUGGAGGCUCAACCUCCAGCCUGCAGUGGGUACGGGCAGACUAGAGUGCGGUAGGGGAGAUUGGAAUUCCUGGUGUAGCGGUGGAAUGCGCAGAUAUCAGGAGGAACACCGAUGGCGAAGGCAGAUCUCUGGGCCGUAACUGACGCUGAGGAGCGAAAGCAUGGGGAGCGAACAGGAUUAGAUACCCUGGUAGUCCAUGCCGUAAACGUUGGGAACUAGAUGUAGGGACCAUUCCACGGUUUCUGUGUCGCAGCUAACGCAUUAAGUUCCCCGCCUGGGGAGUACGGCCGCAAGGCUAAAACUCAAAGGAAUUGACGGCNGAGAGNGCGACGACGACGACGAGGGAGAGG